GAAAACGUAGCGUAGUGGUUAAGGGGCCUUACUCUAAGUCUGGAGGUUGCGGGUUCUAAUCCCCCCAGUGCCA